GGCGGGUUAGUUAAACGGUUAUAACACUUGGCUUUCACCCAGGCAUCGCGGGUUCGAUUCCCGCACCCGUCACCA
rnacentral:tRNA from 1 species